rnacentral:lncRNA from 1 species
AGAAAAACAAGAUUGAGAUGAGUGGAUCAAGAUGUAUCUUUCGUGCAGAUGUAUCAAGAUCCUUUCACUUAAGAUCCAUGCAGGCGCAAGCUUUGGAUGAACUUCUGCUUCUGCGGUCGGCAUUCUUACAGGAGAACCCAAGAUUCAUUGUACCUACCUGUAUGCAUUUCAAAACUGAAUAAUUGAUAGCAACAAGUAAAUAUUUGAAGUUGCAGCCAAAUGCUGUGCCUUCUCUGCUGCAAGAGCUACAUGUCACCAUUGAAGCAAGGACCAGCUCGACUCCUGCAGUAGGACUCCAGCCUCGUCCAGUCGUCGCCGCUCGCCAAGACCUGCCGGACUCCUGCAAUAGGGGUCCAGGGCCCAGGCUGACCCGUUCGUCCAGUAACCGCCGCUCGUCAGCGGGCUCCUGUAGUAGGGGUCCAGCCUCGUCCAGUCGCCGCCGCUCGCCAAGACCAGCUGGGCUCCUGUAGUAUGGGGCUAGGAUGGCCCGUUCAUCAACCGGUCCUGAAGUCACAUCGCUGUCAGCCAGCCGAACUCAGUACAUAAGUCACCAACCCUGAAUGUUGCCAGCCAAAGUCGGCAGUUUCCUUCGGACAGUCAUCUCAUCAGUGUUGUACAGUGUACGAGGUUAGUGACGCAGUUAAAUGCGUCAAUUAAAUGCGAGGACGUGCGCUUGUAUGCAGCGUUUUGUCAUGUUAAGCUGCAUGGGUGUCGAUUUUCACCGAAUUGAGGGUGCCCACUGCCCGGGCGCAGCAAAUCCGCCGCUGCCUUAGCGGUGACCUUGACCCGCACCGUCUGUUGGGGCUCCAAAGCCAAGCCAGCCGAGCCGGCGGGGAAUCUAAAGAGCUUGAGCACCCCCAACCCGGCGGAAAUUGACACCUAUGUUGAGCUGUAUGGAUGCGUUUUAGCCUUCCGCCGUGGUGGUAAAUAGCAGCCUACAUGCAGAAUUAGGCAGGCUUAUUAGCGGACUCAUUAUUGGAUUCAUUGUGUCACGUUUGUCGGCACGUGUAAGAUGUGCUUAACUGCCAUUAGCUCUCGGCCUGGCGACUUCUGGGGACCACGUAAUGGGGAU